UUUCGCAAUGCCCGAAAGGGUGACGAAGCGACGCCGCGUGUGGGAAGAAGGCCUUCGGGUUGUAAACCACUGUCGGGAGUUAGGAAAUGUAAGGGUGCUAAUAGUAUCCUUGCUUGACUAAGGCUCCGGAGGAAGCCACGGCUAACUCUGUGCCAGCAGCCGCGGUAAUACAGAGGCGGCAAGCGUUGUUCGGAAUUAUUGGGCGUAAAGAGCACGUAGGCGGCCUUGUAAGUCAGUUGUGAAAGCCUUCUGCUUAACGGAAGAACAGCAGCUGAUACUGCAAGGCUAGAGUGCGGAAGGGGAGAGUGGAACUUCUGGUGGAGCGGUGGAAUGCGUAGAUAUCAGAAGGAACACCGGCGGCGAAGGCGACUCUCUGGUCCGUAACUGACGCUGAGUGUGCGAAAGCUAGGGGAGCAAACGGGAUUAGAUACCCCGGUAGUCCUAGCCGUAAACGAUGGGCACUAAGUAGAGGGGUUUUA
rnacentral:rRNA from 1 species